rnacentral:rRNA from 1 species
GAUGAACGCUAGCGGGAGGCUUAAUACAUGCAAGUCGAACGGUAAGGUCUCUUCGGAGAUACACGAGUGGCGCACGGGUGAGUAACGCGUACACAAUCUACCUAACAGAGGGGGAUAGCCUUGGGAAACUGAGAAUAAUACCCCAUAGUAUCUUAUAGUGGCAUCGCUAAAAGAUUAAAGCUCCGGUGCUGUUAGAUGAGUGUGCGUUCCAUUAGCUAGUUGGUGAGGUAAUAGCUCACCAAGGCGACGAUGGAUAGGGGGCGUGAGAGCGUGACCCCCCACACGGGUACUGAGACACGGACCCGACUCCUACGGGAGGCAGCAGUAAGGAAUAUUGGACAAUGGGCGCAAGCCUGAUCCAGCCAUCCCGCGUGCAGGAUGACGGCCCUACGGGUUGUAAACUGCUUUUAUAAGAGAAGAAACGCCAUUAUUUAUAAUGGCCUGACGGUAUCUUACGAAUAAGCACCGGCUAACUCCG